rnacentral:rRNA from 1 species
GGGUUGUGAGGUUAAGCGACUAAGCGUACACGGUGGAUGCCCUGGCAGUCAGAGGCGAUGAAGGACGUGCUAAUCUGCGAAAAGCGUCGGUAAGGUGAUAUGAACCGUUAUAACCGGCGAUGUCCGAAUGGGGAAACCCAGUGCAAUUCGUUGCACUAUCGUUAACUGAAUACAUAGGUUAACGAGGCGAACCGGGGGAACUGAAACAUCUAAGUACCCCGAGGAAAAGAAAUCAACCGAGAUUCCCCCAGUAGCGGCGAGCGAACGGGGAGCAGCCCAGAGUCUGAAUCAGCUUGUGUGUUAGUGGAACGGUCUGGAAAGUCCGACGGUACAGGGUGAUAGUCCCGUACACCAAAAUGCACAGGCUGUGAACUCGAAGAGUAGGGCGGGACACGUGGUAUCCUGUCUGAAUAUGGGGGGACCAUCCUCCAAGGCUAAAUACUCCUGACUGACCGAUAGUGAACCAGUACCGUGAGGGAAAGGCGAAAAGAACCCCGGCGAGGGGAGUGAAAAAGAACCUGAAACCGUGUACGUACAAGCAGUGGGAGCACCUUCGGGUGUGACUGCGUACCUUUUGUAUAAUGGGUCAGCGACUUAUAUUCUGUAGCAAGGUUAACCGUAUAGGGGAGCCGCAGGGAAACCGAGUCUUAACUGGGCGUUAAGUUGCAGGGUAUAGACCCGAAACCCGGUGAUCUAGCCAUGGGCAGGUUGAAGGUUGGGUAACACUAACUGGAGGACCGAACCGACUAAUGUUGAAAAAUUAGCGGAUGACUUGUGGCUGGGGGUGAAAGGCCAAUCAAACCGGGAGAUAGCUGGUUCUCCCCGAAAGCUAUUUAGGUAGCGCCUCGUGAAUUCAUCUUCGGGGGUAGAGCACUGUUUCGGCUAGGGGGUCAUCCCGACUUACCAACCCGAUGCAAACUACGAAUACCGAAGAAUGUUAUCACGGGAGACACACGGCGGGUGCUAACGUCCGUCGUGAAGAGGGAAACAACCCAGACCGCCAGCUAAGGUCCCAAAGUCAUGGUUAAGUGGGAAACGAUGUGGGAAGGCACAGACAGCCAGGAUGUUGGCUUAGAAGCAGCCAUCAUUUAAAGAAAGCGUAAUAGCUCACUGGUCGAGUCGGCCUGCGCGGAAGAUGUAACGGGGCUAAACCAUGCACCGAAGCUGCGGCAGCGACACUAUGUGUUGUUGGGUAGGGGAGCGUUCUGUAAGCCUGCGAAGGUGUGCUGUGAGGCAUGCUGGAGGUAUCAGAAGUGCGAAUGCUGACAUAAGUAACGAUAAAGCGGGUGAAAAGCCCGCUCGCCGGAAGACCAAGGGUUCCUGUCCAACGUUAAUCGGGGCAGGGUGAGUCGACCCCUAAGGCGAGGCCGAAAGGCGUAGUCGAUGGGAAACAGGUUAAUAUUCCUGUACUUGGUGUUACUGCGAAGGGGGGACGGAGAAGGCUAUGUUAGCCGGGCGACGGUUGUCCCGGUUUAAGCAUGUAGGCUGAUUGUCCAGGCAAAUCCGGAUAAUCAAGGCUGAGGUGUGAUGACGAGGCACUACGGUGCUGAAGUAACAAAUGCCCUGCUUCCAGGAAAAGCCUCUAAGCAUCAGGUAACAUCAAAUCGUACCCCAAACCGACACAGGUGGUCAGGUAGAGAAUACCAAGGCGCUUGAGAGAACUCGGGUGAAGGAACUAGGCAAAAUGGUGCCGUAACUUCGGGAGAAGGCACGCUGGUGUGUAGGUGAAGCCCCUGCGGGUGGAGCUGAGACCAGUCGAAGAUACCAGCUGGCUGCAACUGUUUAUUAAAAACACAGCACUGUGCAAACACGAAAGUGGACGUAUACGGUGUGACGCCUGCCCGGUGCCGGAAGGUUAAUUGAUGGGGUUAUCCGUAAGGAGAAGCUCUUGAUCGAAGCCCCGGUAAACGGCGGCCGUAACUAUAACGGUCCUAAGGUAGCGAAAUUCCUUGUCGGGUAAGUUCCGACCUGCACGAAUGGCGUAAUGAUGGCCAGGCUGUCUCCACCCGAGACUCAGUGAAAUUGAACUCGCUGUGAAGAUGCAGUGUACCCGCGGCAAGACGGAAAGACCCCGUGAACCUUUACUAUAGCUUGACACUGAACAUUGAGCCUUGAUGUGUAGGAUAGGUGGGAGGCUUUGAAGCGUGGACGCCAGUCUGCGUGGAGCCAACCUUGAAAUACCACCCUUUAAUGUUUGAUGUUCUAACGUUGGCCCCUUACCGGGGUUGCGGACAGUGUCUGGUGGGUAGUUUGACUGGGGCGGUCUCCUCCCAAAGCGUAACGGAGGAGCACGAAGGUUAGCUAAUCCUGGUCGGACAUCAGGAGGUUAGUGCAAUGGCAUAAGCUAGCUUGACUGCGAGCGUGACGGCGCGAGCAGGUGCGAAAGCAGGUCAUAGUGAUCCGGUGGUUCUGAAUGGAAGGGCCAUCGCUCAACGGAUAAAAGGUACUCCGGGGAUAACAGGCUGAUACCGCCCAAGAGUUCAUAUCGACGGCGGUGUUUGGCACCUCGAUGUCGGCUCAUCACAUCCUGGGGCUGAAGUAGGUCCCAAGGGUAUGGCUGUUCGCCAUUUAAAGUGGUACGCGAGCUGGGUUUAGAACGUCGUGAGACAGUUCGGUCCCUAUCUGCCGUGGGCGCUGGAGAAUUGAGGGGGGCUGCUCCUAGUACGAGAGGACCGGAGUGGACGCAUCACUGGUGUUCGGGUUGUCAUGCCAAUGGCACUGCCCGGUAGCUAAAUGCGGAAGAGAUAAGUGCUGAAAGCAUCUAAGCACGAAACUUGCCCCGAGAUGAGUUCUCCCUGAGACUUUAAGUCUCCUGAAGGAACGUUAAAGACGAUGACGUUGAUAGGCCGGGUGUGUAAGCGCAGCGAUGCGUUGAGCUAACCGGUACUAAUGAACCGUGAGGCUUAACCUUACAACGCCGAAG